CCUGGGACACGCAAGACUCAAGGCCGGGAUCUAUCUCACUUACAUAGACAGUCCUAAGGUACCUGGCCUCACCCGAACCCACAAGGUGCCCCUGCCUAUUUUCCUGCCGGGUGCACGCCCCAUACUCCAAACGGCUAUCCAUUUCGAGUUGCCCCAUGGUUCCGAAAGGAGAGGAUAAGUAACUAUAUACGAACUAUCCAUGACCUCAAAUGUCUUAGUAUGUACUUGCUGUAGACAAGGGGACGGGUUCUCAUACUGUACAGCUACCCCAGAUACGCACAGCUAGAUGAGGAACAGACCCUGAGGACCGACCACAGACCAGACAUACUGUCCCCCCCCCUACUGUAUACACACCCGCAC